GAUUGUUUUAUCUUCCUAUUUCUUGAGAACUAUGGUGUGAGGAAAUUGGAAGCAGUUUUUGCUGUUCUCAUUGCAACAAUGGCACUCUCAUUUGCUUGGAUGUUUGGUGAUGCAAAACCCAACGGCAUGGAGCUUCUUCUGGGUAUUGUAGUUCCUAAACUGAGCUCCAAAACAAUACAACAGGCCGUUGGAGUUGUGGGUUGCAUUAUCAUGCCUCACAAUGUAUUUUUGCAUUCUGCUCUUGUGCAGUCAAGGGAUGUUGACCACACCAAGAAAGGCCGGGUUAAAGAAGCUCUCAGAUACUACUCCAUAGAAUCUACUGUUGCCCUUAUAGUGUCUUUCAUUAUCAAUUUAUUUGUGACAACCGUGUUUGCGAAAGGUUUUUAUGGUACAGAACUGGCAAAUAAUAUUGGCCUUGUGAAUGCUGGGCAAUACCUUCAAGAGAAAUAUGGGGGUGGAUUUUUCCCAAUUUUGUACAUAUGGGGUAUUGGAUUAUUAGCAGCCGGCCAGAGUAGCACUAUUACUGGCACUUAUGCUGGGCAGUUUAUUAUGGGAGGUUUCCUGAACUUGAGAUUGAAGAAAUGGCUCAGGGCAUUGAUCACCCGAAGCUGUGCAAUCAUCCCUACUAUGAUUGUUGCACUUGUUUUUGAUACAUCUGAGGACACACUGGAUGUUCUAAAUGAAUGGUUAAACGUGCUUCAAUCGAUUCAGAUUCCUUUUGCACUUAUCCCUCUUCUCUGUUUGGUCUCCAAGGAGCAAAUCAUGGGCACUUUCAAAAUUGGUACUGUUCUCCAGAUGGUAUCUUGGCUUGUGGCAGGACUGGUCAUGGGACGGUUACCUUUUAAUCGACUUUUUCUCCCAUGAAGUGAAUGGAGUAAUUUUUGCCACCGUGGUAUGCAUUUUCACUGGUGCAUAUGUAGCAUUCAUAAUUUACCUCGUUUCCAGGGGAAUCACCUUUGCUUCAUGGUGCUAUCCUCCUAAAAAUGUAGAAGGAAUCGAGUAACCAAACUACAGUUGCAAGAUAUUUCAAUCAUACAUUAUCAAGUGGCGCCAACACAUUGGAUAGAUGUGCAGUUCUUCUGGAAUAACCUUUACGUUUUCAAGCAUAGAGUUUAUACCUCUUGAAUACUUCUGGGGCUAGCUGUGUACAAAGUUCACUUACUGUACUUCUGGGAACUUGUAGAGGGUGGCAAUGGCUGGAAGAAGCAUGGCUUGCAAACUAAGCAUGCUUUUUCAAUCAGCUGUAGUUACUAUACUGCAACUUUUGUUGGUAGAUAAGUUUGCUCUAAAUCAGCUUUGAACACUGUAAUGAAAUUAGAUAAUCAGAGCAUUUUUCCAUUUGGUUGACAAUUUCCAAAAGUACAGUAAG
rnacentral:misc_RNA from 1 species